AUGCGGUGUAACGUGCAGCCUGUGCUCGUGCACGCAGCAUGGAGCCCUCUGUCUCCAACAGCCACCGCGCUGCCGAGCGCAGCCCCGGCCUGCUCUCCACCUCGAGCACCUUGUCCUUGCUGGGUCCCGACGGCUGCUGCUGCCCUGGGCAAGGUGCCGCCAUUGCCCCCACCUCAGCCUUGUCUGGCAUCCUUUCCCAAUACAGGAGAUCCUCUGUGUGUUUUGACCCCUGAGGACGACGGAAGGCUGUGCAGCCCCCUUGCCUAUUGCCCAUCAGCCAAGAUGGCUGCCAUGUCGUGCCAGCACCCAUCUGGCCCACACGAAAUGGCCGCCCCACGGUGCCGCAGUGCCCAGCAGUCAGCCUCCUGCCCACAAAGGUGGCUGCCGUCUCCCUGCAGAGCAGCCAAACGGCAUGUGCGAGGCUACGGGCUGUCAGCUGGAGGAGGGCCGGCAGGGGUGUGGGGUGUGAGGAGCAGAGGAAACCUCGUGCACGGUGGGGAGGAGGAGGAGGAAGAGAAGGAGGCCAAGUGCCGAGAGGAUGUCAGGGACGGCCUGAGCGGGUGUGGAGAUCCUGGAACUCCUGUGGAAGCCACCCUGUCGCUGGCUGGCUGGGCUCCCUCCCAUCCAACCACUUCCAUCUGUAGCCAUCUUUCUGCUCUAAUUGAACAGAUUUCCUACCCAGACUGGUAGCUGUUUGCCAGACAGUGUUACGUGGCUGUCAACAAAUGGGCUGCAAAUCACUUUUAUAUUUGUUUAAAUGAAGUUUCUUCCCUUGUCUUUCAUUUGUCUUCAGUGAAGCUCAAGGUCAGCAGUUAGAACCUUUUU
rnacentral:lncRNA from 1 species